rnacentral:snoRNA from 1 species
UUCAAAAUGCAUUUGAGUGGCUGCAGACAGCCUCCUGGGGAGCAUAUGCAGCCUGUUGCCUAUCCAGUUGCCCUAAGGAACCCUGGAGACAGCC